rnacentral:rRNA from 1 species
GACGUAGGGGACGAGCGUUGUCCGGAUUCAUUGGGCGUAAAGCGCGCGUAGGCGGCUCGGAAAGUCGGUCGUGAAAUGCCGGGGCUCAACCCCGGGACUGCGUUCGAUACUUCCGGGCUGGAGGUAGGUAGGGGAGAUCGGAAUUCCUGGUGUAGCGGUGAAAUGCGCAGAUAUCAGGAGGAACACCGGUGGCGAAGGCGGAUCUCUGGGCCUUGCCUGACGCUGAGGCGCGAAAGCUAGGGGAGCGAACAGG